rnacentral:tRNA from 1 species
GUGGUGGCUCAGUGGCAGAGCACUCACCUGGCAUGUGAGAAGCCCUGGGUUCGAUCCUCAGCACCACA